rnacentral:rRNA from 1 species
GACGAACGCUGGCGGCGUGCCUAAUACAUGCAAGUUGAGCGCUGAAGGUUGGUACUUGUACCAACUGGAUGAGCAGCGAACGGGUGAGUAACGCGUGGGGAAUCUGCCUUUGAGCGGGGGACAACAUUUGGAAACGAAUGCUAAUACCGCAUAAAAACUUUAAACACAAGUUUUAAGUUUGAAAGAUGCAAUUGCAUCACUCAAAGAUGAUCCCGCGUUGUAUUAGCUAGUUGGUGAGGUAAAGGCUCACCAAGGCGAUGAUACAUAGCCGACCUGAGAGGGUGAUCGGCCAAAUUGGGACUGAGACACGGCCCAAACGCCUACGGGAGGCAGCAGUAGGGAAUCUUCGGCAAUGGACGAAAGUCUGACCGAGCAACGCCGCGUGAGUGAAGAAGGUUUUCGGAUCGUAAAACUCUGUUGGUAGAGAAGAACGUUGGUGAGAGUGGAAAGCUCAUCAAGUGACGGUAACUACCCAGAAAGGGACGGCUAACUACGUG